rnacentral:rRNA from 1 species
UACGUAGGUGGCAAGCGUUAUCCGGAUUUAUUGGGUGUAAAGGGCGUGUAGGCGGGAAUGCAAGUCAGAUGUGAAAACUAUGGGCUCAACCCAUAGCCUGCAUUUGAAACUGUAUUUCUUGAGUGCUGGAGAGGCAAUCGGAAUUCCGUGUGUAGCGGUGAAAUGCGUAGAUAUUCGGAGGAACACCAGUGGCGAAGGCGGAUUGCUGGACAGUAACUGACGCUGAGGCGCGAAAGCGUGGGGAGCAAACAGG